UUCUGUGAGGCUCAUCAUCACCAUAAAUGUUCCAGGUGUCACGACACGGCUCGACUCCUGAUUAAUGACAGAUUUGUUAUGUUUUUAUUUAUUUUAUAUAUCAGAGCUCAGCAGCUGCUAAUGGACCAGAGAUGUUAGUUCAUUUCCCUUAUAUUCAGUUUUGACUUUCAGAUUGUUUUCUGUGUCUGUUGCUCUGUUGGUUUGGACUGAUGGAAGAGAAAUGUGGGUGUGAUGCUGACCCCCUCCAGCCUUUCAACCUGUGAGGUCCUGCAGGACCUAAAGGACCUUCAUGCUGAGUUUCUCCAGAAUCAACGUGUUAUUUAAAGUUUUGUUUCAUGUCUCAGAGUGAUGAGUAUAAUAAUCAGCUCUUUCCGUCCUCCUGCAGAAGUUGUCCCUCGGGACAGAUGCAGUAUCGCAGCUGAAGACUCCAGGAGCACUGAUG